AACCUGCCCUUAAGUGGGGGAUAACAUUUGGAAACAGAUGCUAAUACCGCAUAAAUCCAAGAACCGCAUGGUUCUUGGCUGAAAGAUGGCGUAAGCUAUCGCUUUUGGAUGGACCCGCGGCGUAUUAGCUAGUUGGUGAGGUAACGGCUCACCAAGGCAAUGAUACGUAGCCGAACUGAGAGGUUGAUCGGCCACAUUGGGACUGAGACACGGCCCAAACUCCUACGGGAGGCAGCAGUAGGGAAUCUUCCACAAUGGACGCAAGUCUGAUGGAGCAACGCCGCGUGAGUGAAGAAGGCUUUCGGGUCGUAAAACUCUGUUGUUGGAGAAGAAUGGUCGGCAGAGUAACUGUUGUCGGCGUGACGGUAUCCAACCAGAAAGCCACGGCUAACUACGUGCCAGCAGCCGCGGUAAUACGUAGGUGGCAAGCGUUAUCCGGAUUUAUUGGGCGUAAAGCGAGCGCAGGCGGUUUUUUAAGUCUGAUGUGAAAGCCCUCGGCUUAACCGAGGAAGUGCAUCGGAACUGGGAAACUUGAGUGCAGAAGAGGACAGUGGAACUCCAUGUGUAGCGGUGAAAUGCGUAGAUAUAUGGAAGACACCAGUGGCGAAGCGGCUGUCUGGUCUGUAACUGACGCUGAGCUCGAAAGCAUGGGUAGCGAACAGGAUUAGAUACCCUGGUAGUCCAUGCC
rnacentral:rRNA from 1 species